AUUGAACGCUGGCGGCAGGCCUAACACAUGCAAGUCGAGCGGAUGAAGGGAGCUUGCUCCUGGAUUCAGCGGCGGACGGGUGAGUAAUGCCUAGGAAUCUGCCUGGUAGUGGGGGAUAACGUCCGGAAACGGGCGCUAAUACCGCAUACGUCCUGAGGGAGAAAGUGGGGGAUCUUCGGACCUCACGCUAUCAGAUGAGCCUAGGUCGGAUUAGCUAGUUGGUGGGGUAAAGGCCUACCAAGGCGACGAUCCGUAACUGGUCUGAGAGGAUGAUCAGUCACACUGGAACUGAGACACGGUCCAGACUCCUACGGGAGGCAGCAGUGGGGAAUAUUGGACAAUGGGCGAAGGCCUGAUCCAGCCAUGCCGCGUGUGUGAAGAAGGUCUUCGGAUUGUAAAGCACUUUAAGUUGGGAGGAAGGGCAGUAAGUUAAUACCUUGCUGUUUUGACGUUACCAACAGGAUAAGCACCGGCUAACUUCGUG
rnacentral:rRNA from 1 species